GAGUCGGGAUGCUUUAAUGCAAGUCGAACGGCAGCACGGGUGCUUGCACCUGGUGGCGAGUGGCGAACGGGUGAGUAAUGCGUCGGAACGUACCGAGUAAUGGGGGAUAACGCACCGAAAGGUGUGCUAAUACCGCAUACGCCCUGAGGGGGAAAGUGGGGGAUCGCAAGACCUCACGUUAUUCGAGCGGCCGACGUCUGAUUAGCUAGUUGGUGGGGUAAUGGCUCACCAAGGCGACGAUCAGUAGCGGGUCUGAGAGGAUGAUCCGCCACACUGGGACUGAGACACGGCCCAGACUCCUACGGGAGGCAGCAGUGGGGAAUUUUGGACAAUGGGCGCAAGCCUGAUCCAGCCAUUCCGCGUGAGUGAAGAAGGCCUUCGGGUUGUAAAGCUCUUUCAGUUGGAACGAAACGGUACGCUCUAACAUAGCGUGCUAAUGACGGUACCGACAGAAGAAGCACCGGCUAACUACGUGCCAGCAGCCGCGGUAAUACGUAGGGUGCGAGCGUUAAUCGGAAUUACUGGGCGUAAAGCGUGCGCAGGCGGAUUGUUAAGCAAGACGUGAAAUCCCCGGGCUUAACCUGGGAAUGGCGUUUUGAACUGGCAGUCUAGAGUGUGUCAGAGGGGGGUGGAAUUCCACGUGUAGCAGUGAAAUGCGUAGAGAUGUGGAGGAACACCGAUGGCGAAGGCAGCCCCCUGGGAUAACACUGACGCUCAUGUACGAAAGCGUGGGUAGCAAACAGGAUUAGAUACCCUGGUAGUCCACGCCCUAAACGAUGUCAACUGGUUGCUGGGGAGUGAAAUCCCUUUAGUAACGAAG
rnacentral:rRNA from 1 species